AUCAUCAACUAACGGGCCAACCUUUAACUAGCUUUUUUUGAAGGCUAUCAUGCAGAACUGAAACCGCAUAAGUGAUGAUGCGUACAUAGAAGCAUUAUGCGCUAUAUAGUGUAGUGAUUAAGCUUUAUACUUUUUCGCUUGCAUACGUAAAGAGUAAACAAAUUCAGGCAAACGUCAGUAAGAAUAGCGCUCUUAUUGACGUUU
rnacentral:sRNA from 12 species